AGUGAACGCUGGCGGCGUGCUUAACACAUGCAAGUCGAACGAGAACGGAAUAUAGCUUGCUAUAUUUGUCAGCUAAGUGGCGCACGGGUGAGUAAUGUAUAGAUGACCUGCCCUUAAGAAAGGAAUAACAGUUGGAAACGACUGCUAAUGCCCUAUAUGCCUUUAAUACAUAAGUAUGCAAGGGAAACGCUUUAGUGCUUAAGGAUGGGUCUGUAUGGUAUCAGCUUGUUGGUGAGGUAAUGGCUCACCAAGGCUAUGACGCCUAACUGGUUUGAGAGGAUGAUCAGUCACACUGGAACUGAGACACGGUCCAGACUCCUACGGGAGGCAGCAGUGGGGAAUAUUGCACAAUGGACGAAAGUCUGAUACAGCAACGCCGCGUGGAGGAUGACACAUUUCGGUGCGUAAACUCCUUUUAUAUAGGAAGAUAAUGACGGUACUAUAUGAAUAAGCACCGGCUAACUCCGUGCCAGCCGCCGCAGUAA
rnacentral:rRNA from 1 species